rnacentral:rRNA from 1 species
GGCGAACGCUGGCGGCGGGCCUAACACAUGCAAGUCGAACGGAAACGUCCUGCUUUUUGGGGGUGGUCUGGUGGCCAAGGGGGGACUAACACGUGGGUAAGGUGUCCUUCACUUUAGGUUAAGCUCAGGCCAAUGGGGCCAUUAGCGGGUAGGAGUUCCCGCUGUUUGGUGGGGGUUGGUAAGUUUCGCCGGUUGGGGAUGGACCCGCGGCUUAUCAGGUUGUUGGUGGGGUAGUGGCAUACCAAGGCCUUGACGGGUAGCCGGCCUGAGCGGGUGACCGGCCACAUUGGGACUGAGAUACGGCCCAGACUCCUACGGGAGGCAGCAGUGGGGAAUAUUGCACAAUGGGCGGAAGCCUGAUGCAGCAACGCCGCGUGCGGGAUGACGGCCUUCGGGUUGUAAACCGCUUUCGCCUGUGACGAAGCGUGAGUGACGGUAAUGGGUAAAGAAGCACCGGCUAACUACGUG